rnacentral:snRNA from 1 species
AUACUUACCUGGCAUACCGUGAUCAAGAAGGCAGUUCCCCCAGGGCGAGGCCUUUUCAUUGCACUGCAACUUGGUUGACCCCUGCGAAUGCCCCAAAUGUGGGCAUCUCGGGCGCAUAAUUUUUGUUAGUAUUAUACUGUAUUAAUAGCUUAAAA